UACGUAGGGGGCGAGCGUUGUCCGGAUUUAUUGGGCGUAAAGAGCUCGUAGGCGGCUUGGCAAGUCGGGUGUGAAACCUCCAGCUCAACCUGGAGACGCCACUCGAUACUGCCAUGGCUAGAGUCCGGUAGGGGACCACGGAAUUCCUGGUGUAGCGGUGAAAUGCACAGAUAUCAGGAGGAACACCGGUGGCGAAGGCGGUGGUCUGGGCCGGCACUGACGCUGAGGAGCGAAAGCGUGGGUAGCAAAUAGG
rnacentral:rRNA from 1 species